UUGUUUCAGAUGGAUUCGGAGAUAGACUUAGAUGGAAGUGGAAAUAAACCCGGGGCUGAAAUAGCCUCUUUUUUUUUUUUCUUCAUGGGAAUAGCUUGUAUUUUACUCUGAAUGGUAUAGCAAUGUUAUAGUAAGAUUUAAAUUUGAGAUUUAGUGUGAGCUCAUUCACCUGAAGAAGGUGAAGUACAGAGUGUGAUUAAUGAGGUUUACAGAGACAACUUUUCCAGUUAGGCAGGAAAUCUGGGGACAGUUGCAAAAUCAAUGAGCACCUCACAUUUCGAUCUUAUUUUAGAGAAAGCAGAGAUUAGGUCACUCCACAGUCAAAGCACAGAUUUCCAAGGGUACAAGAGUGCUGCAUUUCCUCAGCUGCCAUUGAUUUCCAAUAGGAAUUAACUGGCUUUUAUGCCUCCAAACAUUUUGCUUGAACCAGAGUGCUAAAAUGACUGCUAGGUGUUUAUUUGCUUGUUUUAAUCCCUCCUCAAAGUACUUUCAUGCAAACUGUCAUCUAGUUCUCUGUGGCACGCUGAAAAGUGGUGAAGCUCUUGUUGACUCAUAGGAGCAGGAUUUGGCCCUAUAAAAUGUUGUAUUGAAUACGUGGUUGUAAUUUGCUGUAAAGUUAACACACACACGUGUAACUCUGCUUUCCUUCCUGCUGCUGCUCAUCACUGUGUGUGCCUCUUUCCACAGCACUCCAAAUGCUUAAAGCUAUAUUCAAUAAAGUAGCUGGCUCACACAUGAUUUGAAUGCUGGUGAGGGAGAAGAAUUUAAACUGAAUUAUUGUCAGACGGGGAUUUGCUUUAUCAGAAUCAGGCACCGCACUGACAAAGUUUAACUCCAGGCGUGGAGAUGAACACUUUUUUCGCUGGGAGCUGGGACUGGGUGCCGUGCCAGCGCCCUCGCAGCCCUGCAUUCCUGCGCGGCAGCUGGACCCGGCAGCUGGGAAUGCAGGCGGAUGCUUCACCGGGGCCAAAUCCUGCCUGCAUGGCAGGCAAGGGGAUUGACUGCCGCAGACUGCGAGGAAGAUCCGGAUUUGGCAUAAAUAGUCUCUGAGAAUUAGGUUGCACACAACUUUUGCAGUCCCGUCUCCUUUAUGUUUUGAAGCUGUUCUCUGGGGUGUUUUGUUUUCUGUCUUAAUUUGACAGCCAGGACGGAGAACCAGAGGAGAACAGAAUAGGUAUUUUGUUGUCUGCCAUGUUACCUGAUUUGUUUUGGGCGAUCACACAAGAUAAUAGAGAUAAGCAUCACAUACUUAAUCUGUUUAGUAAAUACCUAAUUUCAGCUUCCCUUUUUUUCCUUCCAGUAGAAAAAACACUUAAUGGAGCAACACUAACCAUUAGCGAGUCCACAGCACAGUUCUUUUCCUAAAUAUGUAGGAUACUCACAUGUAUCCAUGGGAACUUACUCCUAUUAAACUCUUAAAAAAUAGUUUGCUGCCUGAAGUCGUGCUGCAGCAGAGCAAAGCAAGAGGCGCUUCUCCCUCCCAUGCUCUGCUCUUGCAACGCACUGAGUCUGUUCUGCACACCGGCAAGAAUCAACACAGCACUCAGUGCUUCCUGGAAUGGGGUCUGGAGCAUAUGACAACUGCGAUCAAUCAGAAUUAGAAAGGGGACUACGCAAGAGUCUGGAAUACUGAUUUUUCCCAUUUGUUUAUGUACACAAGAUGCACAUUUUUCAGCGGUGUGGGUGACAUCUACCAGAAGUAGUGGUGGAUUUUCCAUUUCUCCAGAUGUCUAAGUAAGGACUGCAAGUGCUUUUCUAGAAGAUGUAUUUUAAUCAAAUUGAACUACGGAGCUCAGUGCAGAAUUACUGUCAGAGUAAGUCUUCAGGGAGAUAUUGCACACAAAACCAAGUAAUCAAAGAUCAAAUUGUCUUUUAUGAACCUCAAAAUCUGUUAAUCCCCCAUUUUCUUUUAAUAUCCCAAAAAGUAUUAAUAUGAAAAUGAUUAUAAUGUACUUCAUGUGCAAAAUUUCCCAUCCAGAGGCAUUUGUACUAAUGCACGAAAAUAUACCCAGCCAUCUUAAGAUAUAGCUCCAUUUUGCAUUUUAUUGUGUUUUGAACAGGAAAUGCUUUUCAGGUGCUCAGUCCCUAAUUUCAGAAUUUCCUGACAAAAUUGUCUGCUUAUUAGGAAGCAGAUAAUAGGAGUCUAGAUGACGAGGGCUAUUUGAGGAGCCAUGUCCAAUGUCUUUUUAUGUAAACGCCUUGGUUCAUGCAGUGAGUAGCUGGUACUCGUGUGUUUGGUUAUGAAGGUCAAAGUGUACAUGGUGGGCAGCUGGAAGCUGGAGUUCUGGCAGAUGGAAUGGCGCCUCCCAUUGCUCCAUUCAGCUGUGACAGGCUUCAAAACCAAGUGCUGGCUGCACAAAAGGGAGGCAGGGAGGGCUUGGAAGCAGCAGCUCCCUGUUAGGGACUGUCACUGUAAGCUCUUGUUCUCCUAAAGUGCCAUCCUGGUGGAAUUUUGUUGUUGAGAGUGAAUUUUGCAGUUCAGGGUAGGGGAAUGUGUGAAAAGCCGCCUUUGCCUCCUUCUCAGCAUCCAUCAGCUCUGAGGGUGUGGAUGCCAUGGGGCACAGAUCCAGCCUUCGGAUGGCACUGCCUCUAAUUGCACUAAUUCUGCAUGGCCAGGCGAGCACCACUGUUUCUUGCGAUGUGGCCAAUGCUCACCCCAUCAGAUUCCUACUCAGCAGGAACUGGAAGGACUUAACUGAUCACUUGGCGAAGCAUCAGGAAAAUACUUUGCUUUUGCCAAGUUCAGAGAGGUCUUGAUACAGCAUCCACAUGAGAAAGACAGAGUGAGACGGCUCCAGAGAUGCCCAAGGCCGAGUUUUGUUAGAUCCCAAACAUGCGCUGUCAGAUGAGAUCCAUACAUUCACUACUUAAUCCUAAACUUAGAGGCUCAAAGUUAUCAUCUGUUAGUUUAGAGCCUGUAAAUGGAAUGUAAUGUUGUGGUGGAGUGGAUGACAAAGAGGUAUCGAAAACAACUGCAGCAUAAUAUCCCACGGGAUGCCCAGAGACUGAGUUGGCCGCAUUGCUUAACUCAAUAGCGUGCACCAUACAGAACCUUUUCUCGAGUUACUAACACACCAAUAUAUAAUCUCUGCAGCUUGGCAAUUGAAUCUCAUUGCAACAGUAUUUACACUCUGCAAUAAUAUGCAUAAGUCUUCAUCUGUCUUUGAAAUUGUUUUUGAACCAGAAUAAUCACUCAGGUGCAAAGGAUUAUUUAAAACCAUGGACCGUGCACAGCAUAACCCACUGAUCUGAGUGGGAUCACUCCAGAUCUACAAAGCCAUAAGCAAAAGCAAAUUUGAUCCACCACUUCUGAAAGCUUGUUUUUAAUACUUAUGUUUACAUCUGUCUUUACAGUUGAAUAUGGUCUUAAAUUCAACAUGUAUACUUUAAAUUAAAGUUAGAGCACUCUCUCCCCACUCAGAAAUUUAAGAGGCAAGUGUCCUAGUACUGGAGGAGUCACUGGAGGGAAUCUGAACCCUCUCCAAGGUCUCUAAAGAAGACUGCAUAACAGGUUUCAGGCAGCUUUAUUUCUGGAAUGUAAUUGAGAGGGUUUUUAAAAGCCCUCCCAGAUAUAAAGAACAUAGGAGGGACUUGCUUUUGUACCUCUUAAUCACAGCGCUCAUGAGCAAGUGCAUUGCACUCUCAUUCCUGCUGCCACGUGUGAAGAGUCGAGUCACCGGCAGCGUAAGUUCUGAGACGCCGCGGGGAUUUGCGCCUGUGGAGGAUCUGGCCGGCGGUGCCGCUGCCCCUGCAGCCACACUGAGCCUUUCUACUGGAAGACAUGGUCAGGGAUGCUAAAUCCAUGCGACUGCAAGCAACCACGUAAGAGAUCUGGGUCCAGAAAAACGUCUCCUUGCCUCUCGUACAUCCAAAGACACUUCUUCAGUGUCGCAACAAGCCUGAGAUCUUUGGUAGUGAAGGUUAUACCUGGCAGAGGCUACAGUGGGCCAUGGGAAAAGAUGGGAGGUCAAAGGCUUUGUCCGUGGUUUUUGCAGUGGAGGAAGAGUGUAAAUUCUGUGCUAUCAAAGGGACUUUGAGCAGUAAGGGCUCUGGCAGGAUUUUUAGGAUCUUCUAGUGUUAGAGUGUUUAAGGAGAGAUCCUUUUACAAUGGAAAAAAUACAUGUUAAUAACCCCAAGUCAUUUCCUGUGGAAACUCAAAGCGCUGUUACGCUUAGAUUUGAAAUCUUUCUCCCCCACCUCAAAAACAGAAUUGCACACUGAAAAAUAAAAUCGUCCUGCUUCACUGUGCAUGUGAGUACAAAGGAGACAGCACUGGCUUUGAGAGAGCGUUUUUGUUAUUACACAACCCAGCAUCUGCGCAGCCCCGUGCGCUGCAGUGAUGGUGCCAAACAGCUGGCAGAGAUCUGACCCGCAGAGCACGGGGUAUUGCCAGGGACAGCAGCAGGUUGGAUUUGGCAAUUUGAGUUGCCUUUUGUGUAGCUGAAGAAGCUCUUGAAGUCUCAUGCUCAGUGCAGUGCUGCUUUUGGUACGUGAUUUGUUUUUGUUCAAGGUAGGAAGGCUUUUAGUGCUAUUAAAUACCUUAUUCUACUGAUGGAAAAAUUAUAGUGUUUGUAUCUUUGAAUGCCUCCUCCAAAGGAUCAUCUCUUUCUACAGUCUAAACUCCACUCACAUGGAGCACGCAAAACCUAUGGCAAGCUUUCAUCACCACAAAUCAACCUUUUGUUAAUAAAGGGCUUCACAUACUGGAAACUCUCUUUUAUUUCCUGACUUCUGUAAUAUUUCUUUGUCCACACAGAGGAAUUACCUUCAUGUGAAUAGUCUGCAUUUCAUAAGAGCAGCCGCGAGAGGAGCUGAUGGGAGCAGCCGCUGCACGGCGGAGAUUUUUUUUGGAGGAAGCAGCAAUAGGAAAAUGGAUGUUUUUCAUCUUGGUUUUAUAAGAAUUGUAUAAAAACUCUUGACAGAUGUGAGAAAAAGGUGGAAGCCCAACGAAUCUCCUUUUGCCAAAGAAACAAUUCCCAGUGAAGCCUUGUGCUCGGUGUCUGGGUCAGAGCUCACUUGAGUCAGCAGGGGUUUUUCCCUGGGUUUCAGUGGGCUUUGGGGGAAGCCAGUGGUUAAAAACCAAACAAGAACUUAUAUUCCUUCCUCUGAACAGAGGUUCAGACCAGAGCUGGGCCCAGCUUUGGGGAUGCUUGAACUGAGCGGUGAUUCUGCCUUGGCGGCUGGCAGCACAGCGUCCUUUUUAGGGUGGAUUAUUUAAACCACUCUCGGAGCAUCACAAAGCAGCGCCGUGAGCUCUCGGGUAGUGCGGUGACUCCUGGCACAGCUCUCGGGGUGACAGCGAGGGCUGUGUGUGUGACUCAAACCCGCUUGCCUCCGCUUAGUCAUUUCUCUUGUUGUCUACCUUCUAUAGAUUUCUUCCUCCUGAACUCCUCAGAGAGACCCUCAGUGCAGGUGUGUGUGUUCUGCAGAAAAGGAGCACGUGUGGCAUCCCGACCGCACCAGGCAGGGACUCUUAUUGCUGCCAGUUUGAGCUGACUUUUGCCUCUGGGGAAGCUGAGAACCAUUUGUUAUAUUUUUAUUUUAAUGUUUCUCUGGCUUAAUUAUUUGAGGGUAUGUGUCAGAGUCUAUCACUGUCAGAUGUUGCUGCUGAAAGGGGAUUUCAGCCAGUGAAAACUCCAGCUGGGUGGGUACUUAAGCUUUAGUGAGAGCAAUGAAGUUCUUUGUUCCAGUUUUUCCAUUGCCUUUGGAUCAGACUUUGUCUCUCUUUAGAUCUGCAUUAAACUUUAUUUUGAGAGCCUUGGCCAAACAGAACAGAGAAUUUACUCCAUGUGCUUCACUUCCAGUCCUGAAAUUACCUUCAAAUCAGAAUUACCCCAGUCAUUUUUCCACCCAGGGCUGCUGUUACGAUGUGCUGUCUGAGCCCCCGUGGGCUGCGUGCCGGUCAGAGAGGUUUGUUCAGACCAUGGAAGGAUGUUGGAGCAAGCGGGAGGUGAUAGCAUGAGAGGAAACGGCCUCAAGUUGCACCAGGGGAGGUUGAGGUUGGAUCUUGGGAAAAAUUUAUUCCCAAAAAGGGCUGUGGGGCAUUGGAACAGGCUGCCCAGGGCAGUGGUGGAGUCACCAUCCCUGGAGGGUUGAACAGAAGGUAGCUGGGGUUCUCAGGGACAUGGGGUAAAGGUAGACUUGGCUGUGUUAGGUUAAUGGUUGUACUUGGUAAUCUCAAAGGUCUUUUCCAACCAAAGCUAUUCUAUGGCUCUACGCCUGCAGAAGCUGCACAAUGCCAUGGCUUUGUGGCGCCAGCUCCUCAGUGGCACUGACCUGGAGAGGUUUGUUCCCCAGGGACUCUCCCCUACGUGUCACCGUCCUGGCUGGUGGGUGGUGAGGAAAAACAGAAGCACCAGAGAGACAAUAAUAAAGAAACCAUGGGGAACUGUCUGUUUGUUUAUUGGAGGGGGGUUUGGACCCAUUUUUUAAUUUCAUGACAACUUGCAGACAAUCAGAAAAUCAUUGUUCAGAAACUCAAGGACUUAAGAAUUCAGCGCUAGGAGCACAGCUUUUUCCCUGCAGGCUGUGGAUAGCCACGUACAUUUACAAUUCUUUACUCAUCAGCCUGGGACUAGACCAGCACAUUUAUGUAAAAACACUAAUACUCUUGUUACUGAAGACAGCCCAGAGCUCAGCCCCCUACAGAUUGUCUAGAAAAUGGAAUAUUUGAUUUUCCCCCAGUAAUAGUAUCUUUUUUCUUGUUUCCUGGCAGUUUGCACAAAAGCUCUGAAGUACGUGACAUACAGCAAAGAGAACAUCAAAAUCUGCUCUGCCAUAUGAUCAGCUCACGUUGCAGUGGGCAUGUUCCUGGCUCCACAAAGCUUCACAGCCGUAAAACUAUUUCUUGCUUCCUGCUGGGAAUUUGUGCCUUAUUGCUGUCUGCAAUAAUUCAUAUGUAUUUGCUCUCAAAACAUCUAAUGUUAAUGCUUCCUUUAAAUAUAAAAUGUACCUAGGACUGGCAAAGUGGGAGUUGAUGGUCCCAGGCACAGUUAUUGUCUGGCCAUGCCUAGAAGAGACACUUGGUUGAUGCGGCUUCCCCGGGCGGUGGGUUUGAUGUGAAGAGCGUAUCUCCAUGGGGUCCAGGCUGGCAAGCUGUGGGCUGGAGCAUCUUCCUGAAGUGGGAGAAAUAGCAGAAGACGUGUUGUUUUUCACUUCCCAAAGAACUCUCGGUUCCCCCUACUCAUUUCUAACCCGUUCAGAAACAUCUCCCUGUGGCAGCAUGGAGUUGAAAGAAGUUUAUGAGGACCCAGAGGGGAGCGAGCAGAAGUGCAAACUGCUGGAUGGUCCAACCUGCCCCAGGCUGCACGUGCUCACCUGGAUGCUGCUGACAGGAGUUUCUGGAUGAGGAAUCCCCUCUUGGACCCUCAGGUUGAGGUACGGCACCGACCGACCCCUUCGCUGCCUGCUGGUCUUACCUGGCUUGCAUGUCCCAGCCAGCUGGAACAACGAUGCUUGGGUUGUGUAGCAGGGUUUGAGAAUGGCAGUGGCACAGAAAUUUUGCACUCAAGCACUAGAAAGCCUGAGAAUUCUUGACUUAGACCCAAGUCCAUUUUGAAAAAGAGGAUUUAAGCAGUUUUUUCAAUGUUACUCCGUAUAUGGUACGUGCUAUUUUUCUCUGGCAAGGGGAGCUGUCUGCACUGCAUUAUGUAUUAGGUUCUUGAAAUCAUAGCUAGUUAUGUAAUUAUUAGAAUUAUAUUUGCAUUCACAACUAGGAUGUAUAUAAAUAGUAUGGUAAUGCAUGCUAAUUAAAUACCAAUUAAUCAUUUUUAAAAAAUGAGGUUUGACUCUAUACAGCUAUCACAGAUGUAGUAAACACUUAUUGCUUAUGAAGAAUAAAUAAGGUGUGUUUUAAUAUGCAACCCUAGUCCCAUAUAAACCCAGAGUGCCAAUAAUUUAGAGCAGAUUUAAUGUGU